UAGGGAAUCUUCCGCAAUGGGCGAAAGCCUGACGGAGCAACGCCGCGUGAGUGAUGAAGGUCUUCGGAUCGUAAAACUCUGUUAUUAGGGAAGAACAAAUGUGUAAGUAACUAUGCACAUCUUGACGGUACCUAAUCAGAAAGCCACGGCUAACUACGUGCCAGCAGCCGCGGUAAUACGUAGGUGGCAAGCGUUAUCCGGAAUUAUUGGGCGUAAAGCGCGCGUAGGCGGUUUUUUAAGUCUGAUGUGAAAGCCCACGGCUCAACCGUGGAGGGUCAUUGGAAACUGGAAAGCUUGAGUGCAGAAGAGGAAAGUGGAAUUCCAUGUGUAGCGGUGAAAUGCGCAGAGAUAUGGAGGAACACCAGUGGCGAAGGCGACUUUCUGGUCUGUAACUGACGCUGAUGUGCGAAAGCGUGGGGAUCAAACAGG
rnacentral:rRNA from 1 species